GAUAAACGCUGGCGGCGUGCUUAACACAUGCAAGUCGAACGAAGUUUUUCCUUCGGGAGAAACUUAGUGGCGGACGGGUGAGUAACGCGUGGGUAACCUGCCCUGUACAGGGGGACAACAGCUGGAAACGGCUGCUAAUACCGCAUAAGCACUUAGCACUGCAUGGUGCAUAGGGAAAAGGAGCAAUCCGGUACAGGAUGGACCCGCGUCUGAUUAGCCAGUUGGCAGGGUAACGGCCUACCAAAGCGACGAUCAGUAGCCGAUCUGAGAGGAUGUACGGCUACAUUGGGACUGAGACACGGCCCAGACUCCUACGGGAGGCAGCAGUGGGGAAUAUUGCACAAUGGAGGAAACUCUGAUGCAGCGACGCCGCGUGAGUGAAGAAGUAUUUCGGUAUGUAAAGCUCUAUCAGCAGGGAAGAAAAUGACGGUACCUGACUAAGAAGCACCGGCUAAAUACGUG
rnacentral:rRNA from 1 species